CUACGGGAUGCUCCAGUGGGGAAUAUUGCACAAUGGAGGAAACUCUGAUGCAGCAACGCCGCGUGGAGGAUGACGCAUUUCGGUGUGUAAACUCCUUUUAUAUGGGAAGAUAAUGACGGUACCAUAUGAAUAAGCACCGGCUAACUCCGUGCCAGCAGCCGCGGUAAUACGGAGGGUGCAAGCGUUACUCGGAAUCACUGGGCGUAAAGCGCGCGCAGGCGGCUAGAUAAGUUGGAAGUGAAAUCCUAUGGCUCAACCAUAGAACUGCUUCCAAAACUGUUUAGCUAGAGUCUGGGAGGGGAAGAUGGAAUUAGUAGUGUAGGGGUAAAAUCCGUAGAGAUUACUAGGAAUACCAAAAGCGAAGGCGAUCUUCUGGAACAGUACUGACGCUGAGGCGCGAAAGCGUGGGGAGCAAACAGGAUUAGAUACCCGGGUAGUC
rnacentral:rRNA from 1 species